CAGGAGAAAGCGGAAGUGAGCGUGGCGGGGAGAGAGGGCUGGUCCAGGAUGCCCCGCCCCGAAGCCCCGCCCAUCCCCACGGGCCACGCCUCCUGCCGCCUGCCCUCUGGGGUCCCAACUGCUCCCCGGAGCCCGGUGGUCCCAACACCCCAAGGGAGUGACUUUUCCCACUCCCUGGCCCUGAGGCCCAGGCUCCGCUAUCUUUGUCUGUUUGACCUUGGACAAAGGAUCCGCCCCCUCAGCCUCAGACUCCCCACCGGCAAAGAACUGCUGAACUGUUUUCCAAAGCAUCUGCCACUUCUCAAGUCAUGGAACUCCUUGGUGCCUCAGUUUAUCCACCUGGAAAGGGCCUCAUAAAGUGCGAUGGGAAGUAAACUGUAUGAAAAGUA